ensembl:lncRNA
CUCUUUUUGUGACUCACCCAUGUGACAGUGCAGUGUCCGCAUGAUAGCUGGGGAGAUGGAGGCUGAGACUAAGGGUGCAGGAAGGCUGCAGGGGGCCGCGCGGAGCAGGCCUGGGGGUCUUGAGGAGCAGGCCCGGGGGUCUUGAGGAGCAGGCCCGGGGGGCUGUGAGGAGCAGGCCCGGGGGUCUUGAGGAGCAGGCCCGGGGACCAUGAGGAGCAGGCCCGGGGGCCUUGAGGAGCAGGCCCGGGGGUCUUGAGGAGCAGGCCCGGGGGUCUUGAGGAGCAGGCCCGGGGGCCAUGAGGAGCAGGCCCGGGGG